GUUGUUUGAAAGAAUUCCACAGUUAUCCAACAAGCCAUCCUCCCUUCUACUGCUUCCAUUAGCAGAGGAAGAGAUCUCAUCAAGGAACACAGGUUGUACCUCACUGUGAGGUCCAUCAAGUCUCAUUUUUGAGUCUGCAUCUUUUGGACGCAACAUACUGCUUGGGUUGAUUGACGUUUUAGCUGAACCACUGUCAGAGCUACAAGCAGGAUUGCUUGUUGAUAGUUCUCCUUGCCUCAGCAGGUCGGAGGAUAACCUGUGGUGGGCAUUGACAUCAACAUCCCCAUGGUGGACAUCUGUUGCUGAAGCAACACUAGUCCGCCCACAAUCAGAGCCAUUGAGUGAAAGCACAUCAUCAGCAACACUCUGGAAAUCUUCAUCACU
rnacentral:misc_RNA from 1 species